rnacentral:rRNA from 1 species
CAGCCGCCGCGGUAAUACGAAGGGGGCUAGCGUUGCUCGGAAUUACUGGGCGUAAAGGGCGCGUAGGCGGCGCUCCAAGUUAGGCGUGAAAUUCCCGGGCUCAACCUGGGGACUGCGCUUAAGACUGGAGUGCUUGAGGAUGGAAGAGGGUUGUGGAAUUCCCAGUGUAGAGGUGAAAUUCGUAGAUAUUGGGAAGAACACCGGUGGCGAAGGCGGCAACCUGGUCCAUUACUGACGCUGAGGCGCGAUAGCGUGGGGAGCAAACAGGAUUAGAUACCCCCGUAGUCCCUGUCUCUUAUAC